CGGCCGCCCCCAUGAGCGCCUCUGCCCACCGACCCAGCAGCCAGCAGAGCAGCCAGCAGAGCAGCCACGAGGAUGAUGCCAGCAGGUUCCUGAGUCCCCAGAUGCAGGAAGA